rnacentral:rRNA from 1 species
UCCGUAGGCGGGCGAUUAAGUCAGAGGUGAAAUCCCACAGCUCAGCUGUGGAACUGCCUUUGAUACUGGUUGUCUUGAGUUACAGUGAAGUAGAUAGAAUAUGUAGUGUAGCGGUGAAAUGCAUAGAUAUUACAUAGAAUACCGAUUGCGAAGGCAGUCUACUAACUGUUAACUGACGCUAAGGGACGAAAGCGUGGGGAGCGAACAGGAUUAGAUACCCUGGUAGUC